CUACGGGAGGCAGCAGUGGGGAAUAUUGGACAAUGGGGGCAACCCUGAUCCAGCAUGCCGCGUGUGUGAAGAAGGUUUUCGGAUUGUAAAGCACUUUCGGCGGGGACGAUGAUGACGGUACCCGCAGAAGAAGCCCCGGCUAACUUCGUGCCAGCAGCCGCGGUAAUACGAAGGGGGCUAGCGUUGCUCGGAAUGACUGGGCGUAAAGGGCGUGUAGGCGGUUUGUACAGUCAGAUGUGAAAUCCCCGGGCUUAACCUGGGAGCUGCAUUUGAUACGUGCAGACUAGAGUGUGAGAGAGGGUUGUGGAAUUCCCAGUGUAGAGGUGAAAUUCGUAGAUAUUGGGAAGAACACCGGUGGCGAAGGCGGCAACCUGGCUCAUGACUGACGCUGAGGCGCGAAAGCGUGGGGAGCAAACAGGAUUAGAUACCCUGGUAGUCCACGCUGUAAACGAUGUGUGCUGGAUGUUGGGCAACUUAGUUGUUCAGUGUCGUAGCUAACGCGAUAAGCACACCGCCUGGGGAGUGCGGCCGCAAGGUUGAAAC
rnacentral:rRNA from 1 species